CCUACGGGCGGCAGCAGUAGGGAAUCUUCCACAAUGGGCGAAAGCCUGAUGGAGCCACGCCGCGUGGGUGAAGAAGGCCUUCGGAUCGUAAAACCCUGUUGUUAGAGAAGAAAGUGCGUAAGAGUAACUGUUCACGUUUCGACGGUAUCUAACCAGACAGCCACGGCUAACUACGUGCCAGCAGCCGCGGUAAUACGUAGGUGGCAAGCGUUAUCCGGAUUUAUUGGGCGUAAAGGGAACGCAGGCGGUCUGUUAAGUGUGAUGUGAAAGGCUUCGGCUUAACCGGAGUAGUGCAUUGGAUACUGGGAGACUUGAGUGCAGAUGAGGAGAGUGGAACUCCAGGUGUAGCGGUGAAAUGCGUAGAUAUAUGGAAGAACACCAGUGGCGAAGGCGGCUCUCUGGUCUGUAACUGACGCUGAGGUUCGAAAGUGUGGGUAGCAAACAGGAUUAGAUACCCCAGUAGUC
rnacentral:rRNA from 1 species